GAUGAACGCUGGCGGCGUGCCUAAUACAUGCAAGUCGAGCGAACAGACGAGGAGCUUGCUCCUCUGACGUUAGCGGCGGACGGGUGAGUAACACGUGGAUAACCUACCUAUAAGACUGGGAUAACUUCGGGAAACCGGAGCUAAUACCGGAUAAUAUAUUGAACCGCAUGGUUCAAUAGUGAAAGACGGUUUUGCUGUCACUUAUAGAUGGAUCCGCGCCGCAUUAGCUAGUUGGUAAGGUAACGGCUUACCAAGGCAACGAUGCGUAGCCGACCUGAGAGGGUGGUCGGCCACCCUGGAACUGAGACACGGUCCAGACUCCUACGGGGGGCAGCAGUAGGGACUCUUCCGCAAUGGGCGAAAGCGUGACGGAGCAACGCCGCGGGAGUGAUGAAGGUCUUCGGAUCGUAAAGCUCUGUUAUUAGGGAAGAACAAAUGUGUAAGUAACUAUGCACGUCUUGACGGUACCUAAUCAGAAAGCCACGGCUAACUACGUG
rnacentral:rRNA from 1 species